rnacentral:tRNA from 1 species
CUCUAAGUGACCGAACAUCAGGUGUAAGUCUUUUAAACUUAUUAUAGUUAUACUCUUAGUGAA